rnacentral:lncRNA from 1 species
UGCCUGCCAACGCCUUGCUCCGAGGCCCUGGGCGCUGUCUCAGCCGCCCCCCGCCCCCUGGAGGUGCGCGGCCAGGAGCCGCCCCCGAGGAAAACAGGCCAGCAAGCAUCUGCACCAGGAGGCCAGGCCUUCUGGAAAUGUGUUGGACAGCGAUGGGUCCACACUUCCGCCUUGGCUCCUGAAUGUGGCAUAGCCAACCCAUGAGAGAUGUCAGUUGACAAAGAGCAUGAGGAUCAGGCCAUGGCCUUGUGACACAGUGGAUGAACACCUGGCUGAAGAAACCCAGGAGAGAGAAGCACUGGACACUGGCUUCUGGGCUUAGCUGCUUGGACUCUGGCCAAGGUCUGGGGAUGUCCAGGACAAUCAGCUUUCUGCUUCUGUGCCCAUAAACUCGGGGUAUGGACUCAUUUCCAGUGCUGAGAAGUUCUGAAAUUGCAAAAGAUUCUUCCUAGCAAGUUCUCGACCUGUCUUCUAACUACCCUGCCAUGUGGCCCUCUCUGGGCCUCAGUUUCCCAUCUGUGAAUGAAAGCACUAGACUCGAAGGGUCCCUUCUGGCUCCUCUAACUCCAACCGAGAGGCACAGCUCAGGCUGAGCAGUUGCAUUUCCUCAUCACGGGGGACUGACAGGGAUCUUUUGCAAUGCUCAAUUCUAACAUCAAAAUUCCCCCAAAUAUUCCUUUUUUUUUCUUUUUUCGAGACAGAGUCUCACUCUUGUCGCCCAAGCUGGAGUGCAAUGGCACAA